rnacentral:rRNA from 1 species
CCUACGGGGGACAGCAGUGAGGAAUCUUGGUCAAUGGCCGAGAGGCUGAACCAGCCAAGUCGCGUGAGGGAAGACGGCCCUACGGGUUGUAAACCUCUUUUGUCGGGGAGCAAAGCGAACCACGUGUGGUUCAUUGCGAGUACCCGAAGAAAACACAUCGGCUAACUCCGUGCCAGCAGCCGCGGUAAUACGGAGGAUGCGAGCGUUAUCCGGCUUUAUUGGGUUGAAAGUGUGCGCAGGCGGAGGUGCAAGUCAGCGGUCAAAUUGCGGGGCUCAACCCCGUACUGCCGUUGAAACUGCAUCCCUUGAGUGCGCGAGAAGUAUGCGGAAUGCGUGGUGUAGCGGUGAAAUGCAUAGAUAUCACGCAGAACUCCGAUUGCGAAGGCAGCAUACCGGCGCGCAACUGACGCUCAUGCACGAAAGCGUGGGUAUCGAACAGGAUUAGAUACCCCUGUAGUC